rnacentral:SRP_RNA from 1 species
GCCGGGCGUGGUGGCGCAUGCCUGUAAUCCCAGCUACUUAGGAGGCUGAGGUAGGAGAAUCACUUGAACCCAGGAGGCGGAGGUUGCAGUGAGCUGCCGAGAUCACGCCACUGCACUCCAGCCUGGGUGACAGAGCGAGACUCUGUCUCAA